rnacentral:rRNA from 1 species
GUGGGGAAUAUUGGGCAAUGGGCGAAAGCCUGACCCAGCAACGCCGCGUGAAGGAAGAAGGUCUUCGGAUCGUAAACUUCUAUCCUUGGUGAAGAUAAUGACGGUAGCCGAGAAGGAAGCCCCGGCUAACUACGUGCCAGCAGCCGCGGUAAUACGUAGGGGGCAAGCGUUGUCCGGAAUGAUUGGGCGUAAAGGGCGCGUAGGCGGCCUGGUAAGUCUGGAGUGAAAGUCCUGCUUUUAAGGUGGGAAUUGCUUUGGAUACUGUCGGACUUGAGUGCAGGAGAGGUAAGUGGAAUUCCCGGUGUAGCGGUGAAAUGCGUAGAGAUCGGGAGGAACACCAGUGGCGAAGGCGACUUACUGGACUGUAACUGACGCUGAGGCGCGAAAGUGUGGGGAACAAACAGGAUUAGAUACCCGAGUAGUCC